rnacentral:rRNA from 1 species
UACGUAGGGUGCAAGCGUUGUCCGGAAUUAUUGGGCGUAAAGGGCUCGUAGGCGGUCCAUCGCGUCGGGAGUGAAAAGCUGGGGCUUAACCCCAGUCCUGCUUCCGAUACGGGUGGACUAGAGGUAGGUAGGGGAGAUCGGAAUUCCUGGUGUAGCGGUGAAAUGCGUAGAUAUCAGGAGGAACACCUGUGGUGUAGACGGCUCUCUGGACCGCAACUGACGCUGAGACACGAAAGCGUGGGUAGCAAACAGG